rnacentral:rRNA from 1 species
UACGUAGGGCGCAAGCGUUAUCCGGAAUUAUUGGGCGUAAAGAGCUCGUAGGCGGCUUGUCGCGUCGGGAGUGAAAUCCACUGGCUUAACUGGUGGCUUGCUUUCGAUACGGGCAGACUGGAGGUAUGCAGGGGAGAACGGAAUUCCUGGUGUAGCGGUGAAAUGCGCAGAUAUCAGGAGGAACACCGGUGGCGAAGGCGGUUCUCUGGG